rnacentral:rRNA from 1 species
AGAGAGAGACAUGCGCGCAUAUCAAUAAGCGGAGGAAAAGAAACUAACUAGGAUUCCCUCAGUAACGGCGAGUGAAGCGUGAAGAGCUCAAAUUUGAAAUCUUCAAGGUUCUACCUUGACGAAUUGUAGUUUAAAGAAGUGUUUUCUGUUGGAGUUUUGGUAAAAGUUCUUUGGAAUAGGACAUCAUAGAGGGUGAGAAUCCCGUAUUUGACCAUUACUUUCCAGCUUUGUGAUACACUUUCAAAGAGUCGGAUUGUUUGGGAAUGCAGUCCAAAAUGGGUGGUAAAUUUCAUCUAAAGCUAAAUAUUGGCGAGAGACCGAUAGCGAACAAGUACCGGUGAGGGUAAGAUGAAAAGAACUUUGAAAAGAGAGUUAAACAGUACGUGAAAUUGUCAAAAGGGAAGCGUUUGACACCAGUGUUGUUUUCUCGAAAAUCAAUUAAAAAAGGCAGGAUUUUGUGUUGUAUUGACUUUAUCAGCUUUCUGCACUCUUUUCUUGUCUUUUUUAAUGCACUUUUCGUUUAACAAGUCAACAUCAAUUUCUUUUGUUGUAAAAGGGUCAUUGGAAGGUGGCUUUCUUUUCGGAGAAAGUGUUUAUAGCCUUUGGCCUCUGCAAUCGGAGAGAUUGAGGUCUGCAGCGUAGAUCCUUCGGGGUUAGAUACAUUUGUGCUAAGUUAUAGCCUUUCAUAGACAACUUGUUGACUAUGAUCAGUCCAUGUAGCUUACUCGCUUAUGCUAUUUUACCUACGCUUAGGAUGUUGAUGUGAUACUGCGAGCA